AGCCCUAAAACAGGGCAAGGAGAGCCCUAAAACAGCUCUAAAAACAGCCCUAAAAACAGCUCUAAAACCGGGCAAGGAGAGCCCAAAUCAGCCCUAAAAACAGCCCUAAAAACCGGGCAAGGAGAGCCCAAACCAGCCCUAAAACAGGGCAAGGAGAGCCCAAAUCAACCCUAAAACCAGCCCUAAAGCCAAGCAAGGAGAGCCCAAAUCAACCCUAAAAACAGCCCUAAAACAGGGCAAGGAGAGCCCAAAAACAGCCCUAAAAACAGCCCUAAAACCAGCCCUAAAACCACUAAAACAGGGCAAGGAGAGCCCAAAUCAGCCCUAAAACCAGCCCAAAAAUCAGCCCAGAAACCAGCCCUAAACACACUGAGCUGACCCCAAAAAACUCCUCCCUGUGGUUAAACAAAGCCCCAGCCCUUCCCAAACGCUGCCGAGCGACCCCAAAUCCUGCAGGGCAGGGCUGGGGGUGCCACCGUCCCCUCCCCGCUUCUGCUGCCUCAGCAAAGGGAGGGAGGGAGGGAGGCUCUGCAGCUGCCAAGGUCUCAUCCAUUAUUCAUCCUGCUCUUGCAAGAGCUGUUAAGUUCCUAGUGGGAAAUUAAUCUCCCCAUAAUGAGGUUUGGGUUUCUCCAAGAGUUUAAGCACUGCCACUCAGAGAUNNNNNNNNNNNNNNNNNNNNNNNNNNNNNNNNCCCCCCCCCCCCUUUUUUUUUUUUUUUUUUUCCCUCCCCUGCAGAUUGAAGCCCAGGUCUCUCCAGGAAACAUCAUUGCUGAAGGAUUUGCAGAUUUCCCAGCUUGUAGGUCCCCAGCAGCUGAGGGCUUUGUGGGAAUCCAGGUGGAGUUUGGGAGAAAGGAGGAAAUGCUGCAAAUUGCUAAUCCUGGCUUAACCCCCACAGGAGCCAGCCCAUCCUCGUCCCAACCCUUUCCUCUCUUCUCCUCCUUCCACAAAAGCAAAUCCUCAAUUCAACCCCAUGGAGCUGCAGCAGCUGAACAGGAGCUGACAGCUCAACCUCCACCUGAUCUGAAGGAAUUCCACCUGAUUUUAAGGAAUUCCACCUAAUUUGAAAGAAUUCCACCUGAUUUGAAAGAAAGAAUUCUACCUGAUUUGAAAGAAUUCCACCCGAUUUGAAGGAAUUCCACCCGAUUUUGAAAGAAUUAAAGCAACUGCCCAGCAUCCCAAAACUCCUCCACCCUGGAAAUGCUUCUCUGUUAGCAGCAAACUCUUUCCCAAAUUCCCAAAGCAGAACUGAGCUAAAAGCAGGGCCUGACCCGGCUGGAACUGAGCUCUCUGACCCCACAGCACCUGAAUCCAUCAGAGAUAUUUAAAGUUUCAUCCCCAGCACACAAAUGCUUUCUCAGGCCAGUGCUCAGCGAGGUUUAACGUGACAAGCUGAGCUCUGCUGGGGACAAGGCAGGACAGCAGCUCCCACAUGCAUUUUUCAGUGGAAUAUUUCAUUGCAGCUGGUGAAAAUCCCGGGUUUAAUUGGAUUUUUGUCACCCUGGUGGCUGCUGCUGCUGAGAAAACAGCGCUGUGCUCUCGGUGGCACUGCCUCCAGAUGAGCUGGGGGCAGGGGGACAUCAGUGUCCCCUCCCUGACAGGAAGAUUUCCCAGCCUGGAAAAUGCAGAAUUUCCUUCAGGUGCUGGAACUGGAGCUGCUGGGAGGAGCAGGGGAGCCCUGAGGGGCUGAGCUGGGAGCAGAGACAAAAUCUGAGGGCAGCAGCCAUGGGGGUGGCACCUGGGGAUGUCACCAGCACCUGGGGAUGGCACCUGGGGAUGUCACCAGCACCUGAGAAUGGCACCUGAGAAUGGCACCCACACCUGAGAAUGGCACCUGCCCCCCCCCCCCCCCCCCCCCCCCCCCCCCCCCCCCCCCCCCCCCCCCCCCCCCCCCCCCCCCCCCCC
rnacentral:lncRNA from 1 species